GUGGGGAAUAUUGGGCAAUGGGGGAAACCCUGACCCAGCGACGCCGCGUGAGGGAAGACGGCCUUCGGGUUGUAAACCUCUUUUGUACGGGAAGAAGGAAGUGACGGUACUGUACGAAUAAGUCCCGGCUAACUACGUGCCAGCAGCCGCGGUAAUACGUAGGGGACGAGCGUUGUCCGGAAUUACUGGGCGUAAAGGGAGCGCAGGCUGUGCUGCAAGUCAGCUGUGAAAUGUCUGGGCUUAACCCGGGCAUGCGGUUGAGACUGCAGUGGUGGAGUGCUGUAGAGGCAAGUGGAAUGCCCAGUGUAGCGGUGAAAUGCGUAGAUAUUGGGAAGAACACCGGUGGCGACGGCGACUUGCUGGGCAGCAACUGACGCUGAGGCGCGAAAGCCAGGGGAGCAAACGGGAUUAGAAACCCGUGUAGUCC
rnacentral:rRNA from 1 species